rnacentral:rRNA from 1 species
UACGGGGGAUGCAAGCGUUAUCCGGAAUUAUUGGGCGUAAAGGGUCCUGAGGUGGCUAGCCAAGUCUAUUGUGAAAUAUCAGGGCUUAACCCUGAACAUGCGGUGGAAACUAGAAAGCUUGAGUACAGUAGGGGCGGAGGGAAUUUCCGGUGGAGCGGUGAAAUGCAUAGAUAUCGGGAAGAACACCAACGGCGAAAGCACUCUGCUGGGCCGACACUGACACUGAGAGACGAAAGCUAGGGGAGCGAAUGG